rnacentral:rRNA from 1 species
GGGUCAGUAGGUUGGUCGUGCCACCGGUACGUACUGGUCUCACUGAUUCCUCCUUCAUGAGGAACCGUAAUGCCAUUAAUUUGGUGUUGCGGGGAAACAGGACUGUUACUUUGAAAAAAUUAGAGUGUUUAAAGCAAGCUAACGCUUGAAUACAUUAGCAUGGAAUAAUGAAAUAGGACGAUCGAUCCUAUUUUGUUGGUUUCUAGGAUUGACGUA